UACGUAGGGUGCAAGCGUUGUCCGGAAUUAUUGGGCGUAAAGCGCGUGUAGGCGGCUUAGCAAGUCGGGUGUGAAAUCCCUCAGCUCAACUGAGGAAGUGCGCCCGAAACUGCUGAGCUUGAGUGCCGGAGAGGAUGGCGGAAUUCCCCAAGUAGAGGUGAAAUUCGUAGAUAUGGGGAGGAACACCGGUGGCGAAGGCGGCCAUCUGGACGGUAACUGACGCUGAGACGCGAAAGCGUGGGUAGCAAACAGG
rnacentral:rRNA from 1 species